rnacentral:lncRNA from 1 species
CUUCAGGAUACACAGCUCCUCUGGAGUCUUGCUAUGCUGCCCACGUUGGUCUUGAAUUCUUGAGCUCAAGCAAUCCACCCGCCUCGGCCUCCCAAAGUGCUGGGAUUACAGGCUUGAGCCACCGUCCCAGCCACCCAAGUAUUUUAAAAGACCCCCUACUUGGGGGACUUGACCACCGUAGCCUGGCCUUUGGCUUGAGGUUCAGGGAGCUCCUAGGGACACCUCAGAAGGAACGGAUCCUGACCUCUGGGACUCGCAGGCUCUGGAGCUCUCGCUGCGUUCAGGCCCGGGUGCUGGGGCAGGCGUGCUCCUAGGCAGGGAGAGGGGUGGCCAUGGUCUCCGAAGCCCAUUUCUCCUAGCCAUGCCUGGAGGCGUAGUUUCCGGGUCUGAAUCAUGGUGCCCGCGGCCUCUUCUUCUUCCCGCUAACUCCCAGCCCUCGAGGAGGGGAGGUUCCAGGGACGCGCCCAACUCCCACUAGGGGCCAGUUCUCCCUCAGGACGCCCCGCGACUCUAGGCGGCGGGUUCUGGAAUCCACGCUGGACAUGGCCCGCAGCUAGACUCCCUCCCGGGCUGAGUCCACCGUGUCGUGCUGCGGGUCUACACGGCCGCCAGCGUACUCCCCGCCCUGUCUCCACACUACGCCUGAUUGGCGAGCCGCGGGGCGACGACCUCGUCCGCGCGUCUCCUGGAGACGUGGAAAUGCAUCUUGUUCCAGUACAUCACAUUCCAGGGAGCAAAGAAUUCUUUUACAAAGCCGGGUGUCAUCAUUUUCUUAGAAGAAGAACCAUUGCAACAGGGCUCAAAGUUGACUCUGCUGGAAAGAGAAACUUGACCGAGCACUUGCCGUGCUUCAGGCAUCGUUCAAGGCAACAGGGUUAUGGUCUUGAAUAGGAGAGACAGAGUUCUCAUCUCUAGACAGACUGGCAGUAAGCCCGAAAAUAGAUCAAUACACAAUAUAAUUUCAGAUAGUGACUUUUUGCUACAAAGCCAAAAGUAAAU